rnacentral:rRNA from 1 species
GGGCCCGCACAAGCGGUGGAGUAUGUGGUUUAAUUCGAUGCAACGCGAAGAACCUUACCAGGGUUUGACAUCCUGCGAAUCUCUUGGAAACAGGAGAGUGCCUUCGGGAACGCAGUGACAGGUGGUGCAUGGCUGUCGUCAGCUCGUGUCGUGAGAUGUUGGGUUAAGUCCCGCAACGAGCGCAACCCACGUCUUUAGUUGCCAGCAUUUAGUUGGGCACUCUAAGGGGACUGCCGGUGAUAAGCCGAGAGGAAGGUGGGGAUGACGUCAAGUCCUCAUGGCCCUUACGGGCUGGGCUACACACGUGCUACAAUGGUGGUGACAGUGGGCAGCGAGACCGCAAGGUCGAGCUAAUCUCCAAAAGCCAUCUCAGUUCGGAUUGUUCUCUGCAACUCGAGAGCAUGAAGUUGGAAUCGCUAGUAAUCG